rnacentral:misc_RNA from 1 species
AAAAUAAACAAUGCUGAAAAUCUAUUCAAAAUUAUUGAAACUCAGAAUCCUAGAUCAACUAUGGAAGGUUCUCAAAAGUUAACAAACAAAUUAUUUUGCAAGAAUCUUGUUACACCUAUGAAUUUUUUUUUAAAAUAUAUUUUUUAAUUUGUUUCACCAAAUUAAUUGUCUAAUUAAGAACCGGUGUGUUCAGGUUCACAGAAUGGCCCAUGGACCUCUUGUUUAAUGAGAAAUAUCAGAAAUGCAAGCUUGGCACUAAGGUUGCUCAUGAUCUGAUGAUGUGUUAUGUGACUGUGUAACUGUCAAUGUCAUUAUUCCUAGGUCAAGGUUUUAUCAGACUAAAUUUUUGUAUUUCUUGAAAAGAUCCUUUUUCAUCAGAAUUUCUUUAAUGGCUUUAGUUCAUGUUUUUGUUAAGUGAUGAGAACUUUCAAACUUUCAGGUUAGAAGCUGUUGAAAUACAUGUACAAGCAUGUAGAUUCUGUAUGUUGUAAUUUUUUGUUUUGAACUUUUAUAGUUAUAUUUGUUGUAUAAUAAUUAUAUUAAAUCUUUGAGGC